GUCUCUUUGAGGGAUUAAUAAUAAAGAGUUUGGCCUGCUCAGUGAGAUUUUUAACAGCUGCGGUAUUAUAACUGUACUAAGGUAGCAUAAUAAUUUGCCUUAUAAAUUAGGGCUAGAAUGAAUGGUUUGACGAAAAUUAUACUGUCUCUAUUUUAAUUAGUAGAAAUUAAUCUUUAUAGUGAAAAAGCUUAAAUAGUUUAAAGGGACGAGAAGACCCUAUUGAGCUUUAUAUUAGUUAUAAUAAAAUAUAAUUUAUUUGGUUAAAUUAAUAUUAUGUUUAUUAUGUUUAAUUUUGAUUGGGGUGAUCAAGGAAUAAGAUUUAUAUUAUUUAACUUCCUUAGAAAUAAAUUAAUUUUUUAGAAUAAUUAACCAAUGAUAUUGCUUAUAUGAUAAGUUACCAUAGGGAUAACAGCGUAAUUUUUUUGGAGAGUUCAUAUUAAAAAAAGAGAUUGCGACCUCGAUGUUGGAUUAAAAUAACCAUAUGGUGAAGAGGCUUUAUGUGGUGAAUCUGUUCGAUUUUUAAAAUUUU
rnacentral:rRNA from 1 species